ACAAGCUACGUCGGUGCGGAGAAGGCACGAUCCAUUCUGUGCGGGGUUCUCCUGGCUCAGGAGCUUUGGAGGAUAGAGCGAUGUCGCCUUUUGUCAGCUGCGAAGCAAGAGCACAGUCUGACAGGCACCGUGCUAACCACCACUUCUUGUGUGACAAAAUUUUUCCAGGGGAUACUCAACACGACAAAUCAAAAUACCGAGACCACCCAAGUCCAACUUGGUGAACUACUAUUGGGAUUACUUGCAGGCAUAUGGGUGAGGGUUUACUUAACAAGAGCAGAAAUGACUUAGCUGAAAAACCAAGGCUCACCCCAGCAUGAGUGACAACUCACAAAAGCUGGGAACCUGAAACACUGCACAGCCUACAAGCAGCUCAACAGGUUGCAAUGAGUCCUUUCCAGGUGCCUCAGUUGGUCUACACCUUUCCAGGCAGCUCAGCUGGUUUCUGCUGCCUCCAGGUAGCUGGUCUGGCCUCAGAGUCGACUUUGUAGCUUUUUCCCCAACUCAGAAUCCUCAGUUUAGCGUCCUUCCAUCUGAGAAGGUCUCUCAGCUUUUAUCGUUUAUUCUGGCAGAGAGGAGCCUAAAGAAUCUGAUCCGUUUCGGGGACUUCCUGAAGCUAUUUUGAGUUGCUUAAAGAGCUUUUCUUGAGUUGUUUAAAGAGCUUCCCUGCAGAAGAAAACUGUUAGACACCACCACUCUGUCGGGAAGGCUUUGCUGAGGCCACCAGACAGUGGAGGACCUCUUGCAGUCUUGAAGGUUGGGAAAUAUAACACAGACUCUAACCCAUGUCUCCAAGUCCGCACAACUUGCAGAAAGUGAAAACAUCGACAACUUACUCUUAUGAUUCAUCAUUACGCCUUCUUUCUCUAAGACCGUCUUAUUUAGAAUGUCUUCUCAAGUAUUCUACAGUUCACCCUCUGGUCCUGCGUGGGUUAGCCACUGUUCCUUCGGUUUAAUAAACAUGUCAGGGGAGCAGGGCAUGCCAGGCAUGUCCUUCUCUCAGUGGAAAAUAGUGCUUUCCAAAUAAAGCCAAAUCUUUGCACCCA